rnacentral:rRNA from 1 species
GGUUCGAUUAUGGCUCAGAUUGAACGCUGGCGGGAUGCUUUACACAUGCAAGUCGAACGGCAGCACGGACUUCGGUCUGGUGGCGAGUGGCGAACGGGUGAGUAAUGUAUCGGAACGUGCCUAGUAGCGGGGAUAACUACGCGAAAGCGUAGCUAAUACCGCAUACCGCCCUUCGGGGGAAAGCGGGGACCUUCGGGCCUCGCACUAUUAGAGCGGCUGAUAUCGGAUUAGCUAGUUGGUGGGGUAACGGCUCACCAAGGCGACGAUCCGUAGCUGGUUUGAGAGGACGACCAGCCACACUGGGACUGAGACAUGGCCCGUGCAGUGGGGAAUUUUGGACAAUGGGGAAAACCCUGAUCCAGCCAUCCCGCGUGCGAUGAAGGCCUUCGGGUUGUAAAGCACUUGGCAGGAAGGAAACGGCACGGAUAAUACACCGUGCAACUGACGGUACCUGCAGAAUAAGCACCGGCUAACCACGCCAGCAGCCGCGGUAAUACGUAGGGUGCAAGCGUUAAUCGGAAUUACUGGGCGUAAAGCGCGCAGGCGGUUCGGAAAGAAAGAUGUGAAAUCCCAGAGCUUAACUUUGGAACUGCAUUUUUAACUACCGAGCUAGAGUGUGUCAGAGGGAGGUGGAAUUCCGCGUGUAGCAGUGAAAUGCGUAGAUAUGCGGAGGAACACCGAUGGCGAAGGCAGCCUCCUGGGAUAACACUGACGCUCUCAUGCACGAAAGCGUGGGGAGCAAACAGGAUUAGAUACCCUGGUAGUCCAGUACGCCCCAAACGAUGUCAACUAGCUGUUGGGGCCUUCUGGCCUUGGUAGCGCAGCUAACGCGUGAAGUUGACCGCCUGGGGAGUACGGUCGCAAGAUUAAAACUCAAAGGAAUUGACGGGACCCGCACAAGCGGGUGGAUGAUGUGGAUUAAUUCGAUGCAACGCGAAAAACCUUACCUUACCCUUGACAUGUCUGGAAUCCCGAAGAGAUUUGGGGAGUGCUCGCAAGAGAACCGGAACACAGGUGCUGCAUGGCUGUCGUCAGCUCGUGUCGUGAGAUGUUGGGUUAAGUCCCGCAACGAGCGCAACCCUUGUCAUUAGUUGCUACGAAAGGGCACUCUACUGAGACUGCCGGUGACAAACCGGAGGAAGGUGGGGAUGACGUCAAGUCCUCAUGGCCCUUAUGGGUAGGGCUUCCACACGUCAUACAAUGGUCGGGACAGAGGGCUCGCCAACCCGCGAGGGGGGAGCCAAUCCCAGAAACCCGAUCGUAGUCCGGAUCGCAGUUCGCAACUCGACUGCGUGAAGUCGAAUCGCUAGUAAUCGCGGAUCAGCAUGUCGCGGUGAAUACGUUCCCGGGUCUUGUACACACCGCCCGUCACACCAUGGGAGUGGGUUUUACCAGAAGUAGUUAGCCUAACCGUAAGGGGAGGGCGACGUAGGAUUCAUGACUGGGGUGAAGUCGUAACAAGGUAA